UACGUAGGGUCCGAGCGUUGUCCGGAAUUAUUGGGCGUAAAGAGCUCGUAGGCGGUUUGUCGCGUCUGCUGUGAAAUUUCGGGGCUCAACCCCGAACUUGCAGUGGGUACGGGCAGACUAGAGUGUGGUAGGGGAGACUGGAAUUCCUGGUGUAGCGGUGAAAUGCGCAGAUAUCAGGAGGAACACCGAUGGCGAAGGCAGGUCUCUGGGCCAUAACUGACGCUGAGAAGCGAAAGCAUGGGGAGCGAACAGG
rnacentral:rRNA from 1 species